UACGGAGGGUGCAAGCGUUAAUCGGAAUUACUGGGCGUAAAGCGCACGCAGGCGGUCUGUCAAGUCGGAUGUGAAAUCCCCGGGCUCAACCUGGGAACUGCAUCCGAAACUGGCAGGCUAGAGUCUUGUAGAGGUCAUCGGAAUUCGUGGUGUAGCGGUGAAAUGCGUAGAUAUCACGAGGAACACCAGAGGCGUAAGCGGAUGACUGGACGGAUACUGACGCUGAGGUGCGAAAGCGUGGGGAGCAAACAGG
rnacentral:misc_RNA from 1 species